AUGGAGGCCUUAAUAAAGGUAGUUGCGUUACUAGCUAAGGAAUGGGGAGCUUCUGUGAAGCCGAAGGAUAUUACACUAUGUGUAGAGCGGCUCCAGAAAGAAGGAGCCAUAAABAGGCCGGGGGACUGCUUGCAGCUGGAAUUCUGGCCGCGAUGCACUAUGGUGCUGGCGGAGCGAGCUAUGUCCACAAACACGGCCAAAGAUCUCAASACGUGGGGAAUUAUACUCCGUCUUCUGAAGCGGUCGCGGGAGGAAAUGGAGACUUGGAAGGCCGCCCACAACACGUUGUUUCAUCAGGAGGAGGCUGAGACGGAAACGGAGGAGAAGUCUAGCGAUGGGGGGGUGAAAGAACGGGAGAGCGGGGGYGGGGAGGCCCCAGCAAAAGAACGGGAGAGUGGGGGCAGGGAGGUCCCAAUGGUCCUACCGGUGGAAUCCCAGGAACCGCCCCCGGUGUACCCCUGGCAAGAUCUCGCACAAGCCGGAGAGGGCUGGGGGGUCCACGGGACCGACCCCGAGGAUUGCGUGCCUGGCGCAGUUUUGAGGAAGGCGCUUAGUGAAGAAGAUAAGACCCUGCUGCCGUGGGCCCCGGCAGAGGAGGGUGCUGUAGGCAGGGAGAGUCAGGCAGUGCAGCGAAGGAGGAAGGGUAACGGCCAAUCGGAGUGGAGAGACCAGAGUACGACCUUGAAAGGAGGAAGGAAAGUCCGAGUGAGAUCGCCAGUUAAGGAGGAGAGCAGAGAAGAUAGUGACGAGGAAGGCGGGGGCUUGCGGGAAGUUACGCGCAGGCUGCGGGGGUGUGUAUUAGGAGAAACGCAACCGAAAGGGAGGCCGAAGGGCGGAGAGGAAGUAACAACAGCCCCGGUCGACACCCUACUGCAUGUAUUAGAGGAAAUAAGGCGGGAGGUCGAGGAAAUAAGGCGGGAGGUCGAGAAACAGAAGGACCUGCUCAGCGGAGCUAAAAGGGAAGCGGCCCCUGCCAUGUCCAUACCGCUCACUGACUGGCGGCUAAUAACUAAUUCGUGUGCCCAUUAA
rnacentral:lncRNA from 1 species